UGGGGAAUAUUGGGCAAUGGGCGAAAGCCUGACCCAGCAACGCCGCGUGAGGGAAGAAGGGUUUCGGCUCGUAAACCUCUGUCCUAUGGGACGAAGAAGAUGACGGUACCAUAGGAGGAAGCCCCGGCUAACUACGUGCCAGCAGCCGCGGUAAUACGUAGGGGGCGAGCGUUGUCCGGAAUGAUUGGGCGUAAAGGGGCGCGUAGGCGGCCUAUUAAGUCUGGAGUGAAAGUCCUGCUUUCAAGGUGGGAAUUGCUUUGGAUACUGAUGGGCUGGAGUGCAGGAGAGGAAAGCGGAAGUUACCGGUGUAGCGGUGAAAUGCGUAGAGAUCGGUAGGAACACCAGUGGCGAAGGCGGCUUUCUGGACUGAAACUGACGCUGAGGCGCGAAAGCGUGGGGAGCAAACAGGAUUAGAUACCC
rnacentral:rRNA from 1 species